ACCACCCCAUUACGAACCCAAAAAAGGUAAUCUAUUCUGUAGUAUAAUACUGAACUCUUACCCAGUAUAUAAUUAUCAUCUUCACAUAAAUUUCUAGCAGACACUGUUUGAUUCAGAGGACUGAACAGAACAACUCAAGUCAGCAACAUACGCUGAAACUGAUAAAUUACGGUUUCCUAAGAAAUGGGUUAAUGGGCCUUAUGUCAAACCGACCAUUUCAAAUUUUAAGAAUACAUUACCAGUUUGAAGUGAAACACCCAAUAACAGUGGACCCUAAGAGCAGCA
rnacentral:lncRNA from 1 species